UGGUUAAAAAGCUCGUAGUUGGAUCUCGGCGGACUGAGGGCGGUUUGCUUGCUAGUAUUACUGCCCUAUAGUCCGUAGUUUUGCCAGAGGUUUCGGGGUGCUCUUAAUCGAGUGUCCCGGGAUGCUGGCAGGUUUACUUUGAAAAAUUAGAGUGCUCAAAGCAGGCUAUUACGCCUGAAUAUUCGUGCAUGGAAUAAUAGAAUAGGAAGUCGUUUCUAUUUUGUUGGUUUUCGGAAAUCGACUUAAUGAUUAAUAGGGACAGUCGGGGGCAUUUGUAUUCAAACGACAGAGGUGAAAUUCUUGGACCGUUUGGAGACAAACUACUGCGAAAGCAUUUGCCAAGAAUGUUUUCAUUAAUCAAGAACGAAAGUUAAAGGUUCGAAGGCGAUUAGAUACCGCCCUAGUUUUAACCAUAAACGAUGCCAGCUAGCGAUCUGCGGACGUUUUUUUUGUAGACUCCGCAGGAAGCUUCCGGGAAACCAAAGCAUUUGGGUUCCAGGGGAAGUAUGGUUGCAAAGCUGAAACUUAAAGGAAUUGACGGAAGGGCACCACCAGGAGUGGAGCCUGUGGCUUAAUUUGACUCAACACGGGAAAUCUCACCAGGCCCGGACACUGGAAGGAUUGACAGAUUGAUAGCUCU
rnacentral:rRNA from 1 species